AGCAUAUCAAUAAGCGGAGGAAAAGAAACCAACAGGGAUUGCCCCAGUAACGGCGAGUGAAGCGGCAACAGCUCAAAUUUGAAAUCUGGCCCCCUCGGGGUCCGAGUUGUAAUUUGUAGAGGAUGCUUUUGGCGAGGUGCCGCCCGAGUUCCCUGGAACGGGACGCCGCAGAGGGUGAGAGCCCCGUCUGGCUGGCCACCGAGCCUCUGUAAAGCUCCUUCGACGAGUCGAGUAGUUUGGGAAUGCUGCUCAAAAUGGGAGGUAUAUGUCUUCUAAAGCUAAAUAUUGGCCAGAGACCGAUAGCGCACAAGUAGAGUGAUCGAAAGAUGAAAAGCACCUUGAAAAGAGGGUUAAAUAGUACGUGAAAUUGUUGAAAGGGAAGCGCCUGUGACCAGACUUGGGCGCGGCGGAUCAUCCGGGGUUCUCUCCGGUGCACUUCGCCGCGUCCAGGCCAGCAUCAGUUCGCCGCGGGGGACAAAGGCUUCGGGAACGUGGCUCCCCCGGGAGUGUUAUAGCCCGUUGCGCAAUACCCUGCGGUGGACUGAGGACCGCGCAUCUGCAAGGAUGCUGGCGUAAUGGUCACCAGCGACCC
rnacentral:rRNA from 1 species